CACGUAGGGUGCAAGCGUUGUCCGGAAUCAUUGGGCGUAAAGAGCUCGUAGGCGGCUUAGUAAGUCGGGUGUGAAAACUCUAGGCUCAACCUAGAGACGCCACCCGAUACUGCUAUAGCUAGAAUCCAGUAGGGGAGUGUGGAAUUCCCAGUGUAGCGGUGAAAUGCGCAGAUAUUGGGAGGAACACCAGCGGCGAAGGCGGCACUCUGGGCUGGUAUUGACGCUGAGGAGCGAAAGCGUGGGUAGCGAACCGG
rnacentral:rRNA from 1 species